CCUACGGGGGGCAGCAGUGGGGAAUAUUGCACAAUGGGGGAAACCCUGAUGCAGCGACGCCGCGUGAGUGAAGAAGGAUUUCGGUAUGUAAAGCUCUAUCAGCAGGGAAGAAAAUGACGGUACCUGAGUAAGAAGCCCCGGCUAACUACGUGCCAGCAGCCGCGGUAAUACGUAGGGGGCAAGCGUGAUCCGGAUUUACUGGGUGUAAAGGGAGCGUAGACGGCAGCACAAGUCUGGAGUGAAAUGCCGGGGCUUAACCCCGGAACUGCUUUGGAAACUGUGCAGCUAGAGUGCAGGAGAGGUAAGUGGCAUUCCUAGUGUAGCUGUGAACUGCGUCGAUAUUAGGAGGAACACCAGUGGCGACGGCGGCUUACUGGACUGUAACCGACGUUGAGGCUC
rnacentral:rRNA from 1 species